rnacentral:rRNA from 1 species
UAAGGAAUAUUGGUCAAUGGGCGAAAGCCUGAACCAGCCAUCCCGCGUGCAGGAUGAAGGUCCUAUGGAUUGUAAACUGCUUUUAUCAGGGAAGAAACGCCUUCAUUUAUGGGGGUCUGACGGUACCUGAGGAAUAAGCACCGGCUAACUCCGUG